CCCAUCCCGCACUGGCGCCGCGCCCCUCUCCUCUCUCUCCCCGCCUGCCUCCCUGCCCCGCCGCUGUCGUCUCCUCCACCCGGCCAGCCGCCGCCACUCGCGCCCGUCUCCUCCGGCGAAGCGCCGCAUCCCUCCCCCCGCAUCUCUCCUCCUCCCAUGCGCUCCCCUAUGGCCCUAUCCCAUCCAUGCCCAAGCGGGACGGCAGCGGCGGCGGCUUGCGGCGAUGGGAGCAGGGGCCGGGUCAAGGCAGGACGGCCUGGAUGCGCAGCGCGAGGGAAAAUAUCUCCUCUCCCGUGCUCUCCCCUCCUUCCCUCCCAUCGCGCCGCCGCACUCCCCUGCCCCAAACCCCUCCUUCCCUCCUGUCGCAUCGCCGGCUCCACGCGGCAGCUGACUCGGCCUUCUCUCCCCGGCGCUCGAGGUGCAGCAGCGGGUGCGGCAGUUCUCGGUCCAGCCGGGUCGGGCGCAGGUCACCGGCAUCACGCGCCGCGCGCCAUGAUUCUGGAUCGGGCGCAGAUCUUUGCGCUGCCACCUCUCCUCCUCCUCCUCGUCCUCUGCUCUAUCUCUCUCUCCCAUGCCGCCAUCGUUGCAAGGAGGGGAGAUAGGUGCCAAGGACAAGAAGCAACAGGUUGGUCGCGGUGGGCUUGAGCUGCUAGGGAGAUGGAGGAGUUCGUCGUGGAGGCGGCGCCGCCAGCAAGCUGGUUGAGGUACAUUACUGAAGAGAAGGCUAUGAGCCAAAGAGAAGUGAUGAUGAAUAUGACAUACGUUUAGUUGCUACAUAAUCUCUGUAUGGUGUAAGUACCUGUGUUCAUUGCAUUGGAGGGAAAGGACACAAAGAGUAAGAGAGACACACCAAUACAUGACUAGCUGAGCUUCAUUUUUGGCUUUUCAUUUAUUAAGUGAUGAAGGUUAUUUCAUAUAUAUAUAUAUAUAUAUAUAUGAUUAAUCGAAAGUUGACAGUUACCUUUAAUUUAUUAACUCAAAUGAUUGUACUUAGAAUUACCUUCAGACUUUGGUAUUUUCCAUCACCAAUUGGAUUAAUGGUUUGCAGCCCAAGAACAAUGUUUUAUGGUGUUCUUAUUCCUGAUUUAGUUGUAUCUAUUAUUGCAAGAGUUGAUGAUAUAUGGUGAGCUGCCUCACACCAUCAUUCAGUCUUUGUAGCAUUUGAGUCAGCAAAGUUGCUGUAAUCACAUAAUCUACCUAAUUCUUGACAAGUCAUCUGUAUAUGUACUGGUAACUAAUGGAUUUGACAAUACUUUUUAUCAGCACUCCGUUCUCAUGUUUUGAGGGCAGCUCAGCUUUGAGAAUGCACUAAAUAUUUAUUUGGGGAAUAGUUUUUGAUCCAUUUUUGUAAUCAUUUUGAAUUGAUGGUCUGAUGGAUAUCAUGCCUGUGCCUGUUUCGAUUCUUCAGGCCUUCAGUUACAUUUUCCAAAUGCCUAUUCUGUUAGCCCAGAGUAUUUUCAGAUGCUCCAGUACUGAGAUAUUCUCAUUCUCUUUUUAGGUUUGUGACCUUAAUUUUCUGUAGAGAUAGUAGAAUCAGAUAUAUAGUGCGAGAAGACGAUGGUAUUUCCAUGAGCUCUCGUAAUGUGAGUCUAUUGCCUGAGGAAAGGGAGAAGCCGUACGUGCCCUCCACUCCCAGCUGCACCUCUGCUUUUCCCCUGCUUCCUCGCUUGGCAAUUGGCAUUAAGAGGUGACACAUCAGGUCAAGUAAGAGCACACCAACUCUUGCCUCCUGUAGAAUUUUUAUGGCAUAGUUGUUCAUCUAUAUGGCUCUAGGGAAAUCAUUUGAUAGAUACUCCAAUUAUAAGAAUUUUUUUGUUCCUCUAACUGAAUCUCAUGGAACAGUCCUGCAUGAGAAGUCGAGGGUGAUUUGGAGGGCACCAGAAGGGAGAUCAUAUCAUAUUUUCUAUCAUUGUUCUCUGGAUCUUCUCCUUUUCAGAUAAGCAACCACACAUUUCUAUCAAGGAAUUCAUAUAUCUUACGUUUCAUUGCAUAUGCUGUUAUAGGCAUGUGCUGUUGCAGAAAAUUUGUUUCUGAGACACACCGGUUACUAUAAUUACGUGGUGUGGCGGGAUGUGGAGUAUAGAGAUGCCGUGGGUUAGAGGAUGGCCGCGGGAUAAGCCGGAAAGGCUGAGCCGAGGAGAAGGAGCACUCAGCUAUGGUGUCUGGUGUAGGGAUGGGAGUAGGAUCUGCGUGAGGAGGAGGGGGCGCACAUCAUGGCUUCGAAGGUCACGCCUAGACGGCGUCUACCCCUGUCAUCCACCCGCACUGAUAAAGUGCAUGUUUCUCAGGAGACACAAACUGUAGUUAAUUCCGAAGGAGAAUAGCAACUUUUGCUUUUGCUAGGUACGUACUUAAAUUUAUUGAUAUUCAACUAUUUUUGGUGUUUUGAUUUAGUUCCAUCCAAGGCCACCAGUUAAUUAUAAGUACUUCCAAAUAGUGAUCACACAAUCUUCUGUAGCAUGUAUAUAUUGAUGGUAGUUUCUUCUACUAAAUAUGUGAACCUGGAAAAGACUCUGCCCGCAUGCAUUUGAAUGUUACCUUGGCGACGAUCCUUAAGCUUGUCAAAAGUUGUGGAUCGAUAGGCAUUGACAAAAAAAGAUCUAAGCUCUAUGUUCUGAAAUACAGGUAGAGAAGCAGCUAUAGCACCCCUAGAGAGAUUGCGUUGAUUGAUUCUCAUCAUAUAUAUAACUCAACUGUUUAAAGUAUUCUAUAUACACUGAAAUCGUGCUCAUAAUUUUUUAAAGUAUUCUAUAUGCACUAAAAUCGAGCUCAUAAUUUUUUUAUCCUGUACCUUUUCUGCUAAAGAUCAUUACACUUCUCUUCAGUACAUCAAUGUUACUUCCAAAGCAGAGUCCCUCCUAGAGGAUAGUUUCUUUUAUCAGAAGGGUGAGUGUGUUGUAUAUUUUACUGUCCACUAAAUCAACUACUUCUGGUUACAUAUUGUGACAAAAUUAAGUAGGCAUAGGCUUCUUCAUUGAUUCUUAUACCGAAACUGAAUUUGUAUUGUGUUAAUACAUUAUAGUCAUCCUUGAAGGACUUGUGUUUUAUUGCCAUGCAUGCUUAAUAAUUGCUUGCUGAAGCAUUGGUCCUAAUUUACCACGGGUUUCGCUCGGGUUGCGCUUUCUUUUUGUGUAUGGUUGCUGGAGUGGCUAUUGAAUAGUGAUUCUAUCCAUUAGUAGUAUCUUGUCAUUAUGAAAGUUUCUAUAUUUUUUGUACAUAUGAAGGUUUGUGUAUUUUGUUCUCAGCGGCGUUGCUGCAUAUAAAUUUGAGGCAAAUGAUGAUACGGUUCAGACUCACACUUUUCUGAUUUUUAUCUUGUCAUUAUGAAGGUUUGUGUAUUUGUUUUUGUGCUGCACAUAAAUUUGAGGAGAAUGAUUUUAUGGUUCAAAGAGACAAUUUUAUCAUAUUUGAGCUGCCAGCUUGCUUCAGCCAUGUGAUACCGGAGCCCGAGGUUGACAGUGGCCAAAUGACUGAACUUGUUCGCAACAUUAAUAGUAGUACUCUUGAUAAACAUAGCAUUCCUGACCUUUUUGUACCGUUCGCCUGUUUGCAUGUUUAUAACAGGGGAAUUAGUCCAAGUUUUACUGGUUCACUUGCUACAGGUGCAAUAUAUCUUUGGUGUUAUUGAAUCUUUAACCAAGAUAUGGCUGGAGGCUGGAGCAGACUAAUCCUAAUCGAAUUGGUCAUCUCACUUUAUAGGUGGAGUAAUUGGUGAGAUUUUUCCUGUCUCUUGUAGUUGUAUUUUACUUUCCAGAAAAUCUGCAUGAUGGUACUCAAAAUUUAUGAAUGGUUUUAUUGGCAUGUCACGUUGUGGACCGAGAUGAUGUUCAGUAGACUCCCUCAUCACCUUGCCAGUGCUAUGGAUCGCUCACAGCUUGAAUCUGAAUGUGCUUCUUCCGGUCUAUGCUCCCUCUCUUUGGUUCAUUGGCCUCCCAAAACUACUUUGGUAUGAAAGUAAAGCCUUCACUUACUGCCAGUGUAAAUUGGCUAUUUAUUUUUUUCAUUUCAUUAAACUUAUACUUUCUGGAGUGAUCUUCAUAACAUACACAGUCAAAUUUGUUUUUCUCACAAGCUGGAUCAUCGCAUAACUUAUUGGUGGUUGCACUAGCUGAACUUUGUUAUAAGUUCUGGCGUGCAUUGUAUAUCACAGAUAAAGUGUAUGUAAUCUUAUUGGUGAGUAGGUUUUAAAAUGCUAUAAAUUUUAAAUAAUUGAAGCUAGCAUUAUAAUGCUUCAGGUUUUUUCUUUCAAUCAAUCAACUUUUAACUGCUCACUAAUUGGUGCCCAUGCAUGUUCUGUUACAAUUAAAGGUAAUGUACAAGAAAAGGUAGCUGUUGUUUUAGUUUUAAGAAAUAUAUCAAAAUAAAAUCUGUGGUCAGUCUAGGUUGUACUGAUAUAUAUGUUUUUAAGAGACUGCUCUGUAUUUAUUUCCUAGCAGGAAUUCCAUACCAUUUCAUGGCCUUUAAAACUUGCCUAUUAACCAUGAGAAACCACUUUAGCUCUCUGUGUACGUUGAUCAUUGUAGUGCAGUGUUUGAUAUGUUACCAAUAGCCUUUCCCUUGGCUCUUCCUCUCUAUUUAGUUAUUCCUUGAAUCAAGUGCAUAGUUAUUUUGCCUAUUGUAGGUUUUGUUAUCGUUAUAAUUGUGCACUCACUUUGUUCUAGGAUAUAAAGGCAUAUUAGUUAUUCCUUUAUCAUGCCUAUAAUGUUCUAAACUUUGAAAUCAUAUGGGAUAAAGAUCAUGUCUCUUUUUAUUUUGACAUGGCCACCUUUAUCGUUAUACAGUAUUUUUUAUGAGAAACAUUGCAGAUAUUAUUUACAGAUGCAAAUUUGCAAGUUAAAUUUAUCAGGACUUGAAAAUUUGUAGUCACUGCAUGUUCUCUUAUAUACUCUGUCAUGGUGUACUUCAUUUUAAGCUUCAGAACUAGGAGAUUGGUUUAGAGGUUAUGUGCCUUUGUUUUGUAGUAAAUUGUGGAUGUCAAUGUCAGUUCUUCUGCUGCAAAGUUGGGGAAAGAAUUGCAGCGACAAUCAAGUUUUGUCCGAGCACACAACAUCAGCGACGUGAUGAUGAAGCAAUGGCAUUGUCUGGCUAUUCAUACAAUUCUAUAGAAGAUGCAAUGGACGUUCCAGCUGCUCGAGUAAUGAAAUAUAUGGAGACCGUGCGUGCCAAGGUAUUGAAAGACUAUAGUUACAACAAGCUGCAACAAAGGAAAGAGAACUGUAUCUGAUUGGUUUGUUAGGACAAAGAAAAAGAAAUCAAAGAACAGGCUCUGAAGAUUAGAGAACUUAGCAAGGACUUUGCAGACUACUUAUAUCAGGUUAAAAGCACUUCUGAGAUUCACCGCCCAGCUAAAGGAAGUGUAUGCUCAGCCAAUUCCAUAAGUGGUCGCGAGCUCAAGAAAGCGGCUAUAGAUAUUCACAAUGCAAUUGCUCAUCUUGGCCAGUUGAGUGAAAACAAAAAAUGCAGGUAAUCCAAAACACAUCGGUAUAUCCAUUUAGGAGAGGAUCUAUUUCCACGGCCUAUGUGCCUUCAGAAGAUGCCGAUACUACCAGCUACAGUAGCCUUCUCUGAAUAUCAACUGAUUACCUUUGUCUUGAGAAGAUCACUGCCAUAGUUCAUCUGCCAGUCUUUCCAGAGCUUCUUCUAUCACGUUGAUGGACUUUGAACUUAAGCUAUCCCCGGCUAUGUAUGUUAGUAGCUAUGGCAAUUGCAUGUAUAGAUUAAACCAUCAGCUACGUUCUAUGUUGCGUGGCAAUGCCAGUAGUCCCUCAAUGUAAUAUGCAGCCGCUUAUUAUGUAUUUCCUGCGAACAUAUGUUCAUUAUUAAUAAACCUACCAUGCAUUGUAAUA